CGGAGGGUGCAAGCGUUAUCCGGAUUCACUGGGUUUAAAGGGUGUGUAGGCGGGCAGUUAAGUCAGUGGUGAAAUCUCCAGGCUCAACCUGGAAACUGCCAUUGAUACUAUCUGUCUUGAAUUCUGUUGAGGUGGGCGGAAUACAUCAUGUAGCGGUGAAAUGCUUAGAUAUGAUGUAGAACACCGAUUGCGAAGGCAGCUCACUAAGCAGCGAUUGACGCUGAGGCACGAAAGCGUGGGGAUCAAACAGGAUUAGAUACCCUGGUAGUCCACGCCCUAAACGAUGAUUACUCGACGUACGCGAUACACAGUGUGUGUCUGAGCGAAAGCAUUAAGUAAUCCACCUGGGAAGUACGACCGCAAGGUUG
rnacentral:rRNA from 1 species